GGAAGGAUCAUUAAAGAUUCGACCUUCGGGUCUAUCUUCUCUUCAGCUGUGCGCUUCGGCUGCACGCUGUUGAACUUCACACACCUGUGCACACUUCGGUUGUGGUUGGUUAACUCUGGCCACUUCCGCUUUUACAUUUAACAACCAAGUCUAGAAUGUCUCAUGCUAUAAAAUUAACAACUUUCAACAACGGAUCUCUUGGCUCUCGCAUCGAUGAAGAACGCAGCGAAAUGCGAUACGUAAUGUGAAUUGCAGAAUUCAGUGAAUCAUCGAAUCUUUGAACGCAACUUGCGCUCCUUGGUAUUCCAUGGAGCAUGCCUGUUUGAGUGUCACGUAAACCCUCACCCUUGCGAUGUUAAAGUCGUCUUGUGGUGGAUUUGGAUUGUGCCGUAAUUGGCUCAUCCUGAAAUGCAUUAGCUUGCGCUUUUUACAGUGCUCGGCAUGGUGUGAUAAUUAUCUGCGCCGUCGCCUUAGGCCUGUUCUAUAUGUGCAGCUUCUAAUCGUCCCUUGUGGACAACUUUACUUAACGCUUUGACCUCAAAUCAGGUAGGAUUACCCGCUGAACUUAAGCAUAUCAAUAAGCGGAGGAAAAGAAACUAACAAGGAUUCCCCUAGUAACUGCGAGUGAAGCGGGAAGAGCUCAAAUUUGAAAUCUGGCGGUUUUGCCGUCCGAGUUGUAAUCUAGAGAGGUGUUUUCCGUACUGGACCGUGUAAAAGUCCCUUGGAACAGGGCGUCAUAGAGGGUGAGAAUCCCGUCCAUGACACGGACUACCAGUGCUCUGUGAUACACCUUCAAAGAGUCGAGUUGUUUGGGAAUGCAGCUCAAAAUGGGUGGUAAAUUCCAUCUAAAGCUAAAUAUUGGCGAGAGACCGAUAGCGAACAAGUACCGUGAGGGAAAGAUGAAAAGAACUUUGGAAAGAGAGUUAAACAGUACGUGAAAUUGUUGAAAGGGAA
rnacentral:misc_RNA from 1 species